rnacentral:rRNA from 1 species
AGCGAACGCUGGCGGCAUGCUUAACACAUGCAAGUCGCACGGCGGGGGCAACUCCGUCAGUGGCGGACGGGUGAGUAACGCGUAGGAAUCUAUCCUUGAAUGGGGGACAACCGUGGGAAACUACGGCUAAUACCGCAUGAUGCCUGAGGGCCAAAGACGAAAGUCGUUUGAGGAGGAGCCUGCGUCUGAUUAGGUAGUUGGUGGGGUAAAGGCCUACCAAGCCUACGAUCAGUAGCUGGUCUGAGAGGAUGAUCAGCCACAUUGGGACUGAGACACGGCCCAAACUCCUACGGGAGGCAGCAGUGGGGAAUAUUGGACAAUGGGCGAAAGCCUGAUCCAGCAAUGCCGCGUGUGUGAAGAAGGUCUUCGGAUUGUAAAGCACUUUUGGCAGGGACGAUGAUGACGGUACCUGCAGAAUAAGCCCCGGCUAACUUCGUG